AGCUAGAGAUCCAACAAUUGUUCCAAAGAGCAUGGAAGACCCAAAACCAGCAAUGAAGAGUUGUCCGAUCUCCCCUUUCCCAUAUCCAUAUGUACUAUAAAGGUAGUACACGUAUGGACCUUGUAGCCAAUCUCCAGCUUUAAACAUAGAAAGGGCAACCAAUUAGAUUUCCAAAAAACCGAAACAGCAACUCCAAUCCCAACUUGACAUUUUCAACAAUAGCACGACCACACAAUAAUUUCCAGAUUUCAUUCAGUGAAUUUAAUUUUCCCAAUCACCAACAACAUUAUCCUCAGAAUCAUAACUCAAUGACGAAAAACAUGAUUAAAAUCAAACAAACAAAUAAAAUAAAAUAAAUUCAAUAAACGAACACCUUUAAGAGAUACAUAACUUAACUAAAUUAAAAUGUCCUUUUAAAUACCAUCUCAUCGAACAUCGUUACAAUCAGAAAACGAAGUUUAAAAUAAAACAAGGAGUAGAGUAAAACACAAAGUAUAACGCAAUGCACAGUGUACAAAUGCACUAUUAACCAAAAAGAAAAAAAAGAAAGAAAGAAAGAAAGAAAAAGAAAUCAUUAAUUCCAGAACCGACACGUCACUACAAUGAGAGAAACCAGUCGCUCAGGAUCCGCAUGGAACGCUUUCGAUUUCUCGCUACAUUCAUUUUCACAAACAAACAAGAACGUAAGGUAACAACAAACAAGCAAUAGCUUCCUCGAUUCAAUUUUAAUUUCGGUGAUAAUUAAAACUCCGCGAGGAAAAAAUAAAAGAAAAUUAUGGCGAUAAAAAAAGAAUAGAGCGAGCAUUGGAGGGAUUGGAAUAGAGAAAUGAGAGACGGAAGAGGCAGAUCGAGCGGAAUGAGAGAAGAGAGGGAAGAGAUCGAGCGAGAUCUAAAGAGAUGGAGAGAGAUCUGUACCCAUCAUGAGGGAAUAGACAAGGAGGUAGUUGUUCUUGAAGGAAUUGAAUGCAGAAGAGGUGUUGAUUCGGUCCUUGUUGCUCUUGCUCAGUUCCAGAGCUGCCACAACCGCGGCCAAACCACCGAACACCGUGUAGAAGAACAACUCCAUUUUCACUCCGCCAACUCUUCCUCU
rnacentral:lncRNA from 1 species